rnacentral:rRNA from 1 species
GACGUAGGGCGCGAGCGUUGUCCGGAUUUAUUGGGCGUAAAGAGCUCGUAGGCGGCUUGUUGCGUCGAUCGUGAAAACUUGUGGCUCAACCAUGAGCUGGCGGUCGAUACGGGCAGGCUGGAGUUCGGUAGGGGAGACUGGAAUUCCUGGUGUAGCGGUGAAAUGCGCAGAUAUCAGGAGGAACACCGGUGGCGAAGGCGGGACUCUGGGCCGAUACUGACGCUGAGGAGCGAAAGCGUGGGGAGCGAACAGG